GGAAGGGUGGCCGAGUGGUUUAAGGCACCGGUCUUGAAAACCGGCGUGGGUUCAAACCCACCGUGGGUUCGAAUCCCACCCCUUCCGCCA
rnacentral:tRNA from 1 species